rnacentral:rRNA from 1 species
UACGGAGGGGACUAGCGUUGUUCGGAAUUACUGGGCGUAAAGCGCACGUAGGCGGAUUUGUAAGUCAGGGGCGAAAUCCCGGGGCUCAACCUCGGAACUGCCUUUGAUACUGCAAAUCUCGAGUCCGGAAGAGGUGAGUGGAAUUCCUAGUGUAGAGGUGAAAUUCGUAGAUAUUAGGAAGAACACCAGUGGCGAAGGCGGCUCACUGGUCCGGUACUGACGCUGAGGUGCGAAAGCGUGGGGAGCAAACAGG